rnacentral:rRNA from 1 species
GACCAGACUCCUACGGGAGGCAGCAGUGGGGAAUAUUGCGCAAUGGGCGAAAGCCUGACGCAGCGACGCCGCGUGAGGGAUGAAGGUCUUCGGAUCGUAAACCUCUGUCAGCAGGGAAGAACGGUCACUGUGCUAAUCAGCAGUGAAUUGACGGUACCUGCAAAGGAAGCACCGGCUAACUCCGUGCCAGCAGCCGCGGUAAUACGGAGGGUGCGAGCGUUAAUCGGAAUUACUGGGCGUAAAGCGCUCGUAGGCGGUAUGUCAAGUCAAGGGUGAAAUCCUCGCGCUCAACGUGGGAACUGCCUUUGAAACUGGCAAACUGGAGUGCGGGAGGGGCAGGCGGAAUUCCUGGUGUAGCGGUGAAAUGCGUAGAUAUCAGGAGGAACACCGGCGGCGAAGGCGGCCUGCUGGACCGCGACUGACGUUGAGGCUCGAAAGCGUGGGGAGCGAACAGGAUUAGAUACCCCUGUA